rnacentral:lncRNA from 12 species
AGGAAUUUUUGCAAUGCUAAUUAUUACACUACUUUCUCUUUCCAGAUCUCACAAGAUGCUAGGACAUAUGUUACAGGUAUUCAUUUGGACAGAAAGUAAUCUUUCACGUCUAUUUCAUGAGAAAAAUGGAAGGUUCAGGAAAGUCAAAGCGUGUGGUUCAGAAAGGGUGUUCCAGAAUACUGUAAAUAUUAAGUGGCGUUUGUGUAGUAAUGGAAGGAAGUCAUAUUUACUCAAGGAUAACAAAGAUCAUCACAGCCCCAAUCUGGGAAACAGGUUGCAGUAUGUCCACAUAUCGUUUCAAAAAUAGAAUACUUAGAGGCCUGGUUUUGACCAAGAUUGCUUCAACUACUGUUUCAUUAGAGAAGGGGGCAUCAUAAUAGAAGAACAAGUGUACUCAGUUACCUCUAAAGUAUUUGCACUAACAGACCAAUAAAGUUCUCAGCUGAAAUUCGGCACGCACGGGUCGCAGGUCGGGUCUGUGGAAUGUGGAGGUCACCCAGGAAUCCAGACUUGUGAGCAAGCUCACAUUUUUCCCACCCCUGGCACACUCUGUACCUCCUGCAGCUCUCCUCCAGUUACCUUCUCCAGAGAGGGGCAGAUUUCAGCCACUUCCACAGUCCUGAGUUCAGAGACAGAGGACAGCCAACGAUGGUUCAGGAAAGGUGGUAAGGAACAACCUGGUGAGCAGUGCUGGGUGCUGCUCCUUGAUCAAAAAGCUUAUCCCAGAUCUGAGCCUGCUCGUCACUGUGACUCUUGGAUGCUGGACUUCGAUUUUCACAACGCGGAACACAGGGCGGUGCCGGGAAAAACUAUUCCUUCCCUCCCUCCUUGCUUUCCGCUUCCCCACGCUCCCUGUGCCCCCCACCCCCACCACACACACACACUCCCAUUCAUUGCCGCUGCUGUCACCCUGGAAUACUGCAGUAGGAGGACAGAACUGUCGUCUUGCCGUGUGUUCCAGAGUGAGGCUGAAAGUGCAUCCUGGCUUCUCCACUCCUCUGCUUCUCAUUUUUGGAGUGCGGCGGGGGAAUGGACGUCCUCCCCAAAAUGAUGACUCAGGAGACAGGAUGGGCAAAUUCUACUUGGAAGAUGAGUUUCUAGGAUUCCAGGCAGCAAAACAGACUUCUUCGAUUUUUAUAUUUGUUUUUCUCUUCUGUGUUAUCAAUUCUGAUUUCUUUUUUUUUUUUAAGAUUUUAUUUAUUUAUUCAUGAGAGAUAGCGAGGCAGAGACAUAGGCAGAGGGAGAAGCAAGUUCUCUGAAGGGAGCCUGAUGUGGGACUCCAUCCUGGGACCCUGGGAUCACAACCUGAGCUGAUGGUAGAUGCUCAACCACUGAGCUGCCCAGGUGUCCCUCAAUUCUGAUUUCUAAAAAAAAUAAAUAAAUAACAGAAUUAUGUAUUUACUGUACA